AAGUGAAUCAGCUAUACAUAUACAUAUAUCCCCAUAUCUCCUCCCUCUUGCAUCUCCCUCCCUCCCUCCCUAUCCCACCCCUCUAGGUGGUCACAAAGCACGGAGCUGAUCUCGCUGUGCUAUGUAUUUUUAUUUUUAUUGAAGUAUAGUUGAUUUACAAAAUUGUGUUAAUUUCUGCUGUACAGCAAAGUGAUUCAGUUAUACAUAUACAUAUAUUCUGUUAAAAAAUUUUAUUGAAGUAUAGUUGAUUGACAACAUUUUGUUAAUUUCUAUGGUACAUACAUUCUUUUUUAUAUUCUUUUCCGUUAUGGUUUAUCACAGGAUAUUGAAUAUAGUGCCCUGUGCUAUACAGUAGGACCGUGUUGUUUAUCCAUCCUAUAUAUAAUAGUUUACAUCUGCUAAUUCCAAACUCCCGAUCUAGUCCUCCUCCACCCUCCCUCCCCCUUGGCAACCACAAGUCUGUUCUCUAUGUCUGAGCAUCAUCUUCAUUUAAUCCUCAUAGUAAUCCCCCCAAAUAAGUAUUAUUUCCAUUGUGUAGAUAAGGAAACUGAGACUCUCAGAGGUGAAGUGGUGUACUCAGGCCAGCUUGUGAGGGGCAGAGCCAGGACACAAGCCCACAACUGCUUGACACUAAACCAGUGCUCAUAACCACCACACAUACCGCCUUUCAAAAUGUUAUUUCAGGGGAGUCACAGAAUGGCAGGUGGAAACCCCUGGGAACAUGAUGCUGUUUGGGGUGGUCCCGAGCAGUAGGGAUCAGGGCACAACCUCAGGGGAGGAGUGAGAUGUGGAGUGAUGGCCUGGCAGAGGUGCCCACCCCGCCUUCCCCACUGCCACCUGUGCCCUGCUGAGGACCAUGUGGACACCAUCUGACCAGCCCUCGGGCCUCACCCGACUGUGACUUGGCAGAGAGGGGCCUCCAGGUCCCCAAGUCGCUCAGCCUCCAGGCUGGUCAGGGCUGGACGAGGGAGGAAACUGAAGAUCUCAGUCCUGGGAGGUCUGUCAUCGGGGGAGGACAGCUGGGUUGACCGAGCUGAGAAAGGGUGGGGUGGCUGAGGGAACACUGGGGUAAGGGGCGGCCUGAAGCUCGGGGCCCGGCAGCUGAGGGCUCCAUCCUGCCGCACAAAGGGCCAGGUGCUCUCUGGGAACGAAGGAGCGUUUCUUCCUCUGCAAUGCUGACGUCUGGCCGCGCUCCCUCUCUGCAGCGUUACUUUCUUCUCUGACAAACAGACUGUUGUAAGUUCUUCAGGAACCUUGUUGGAUAUGGUGCCUGAGUAAGAAAUCUCUGGGGUGGACAGAAGGGUUUGAGGGGAUUUGAGAAUAACUCUGUGUCUGGGUGAGAGUUUUAGGUGUGCAGCUGGAUGGGAGAGAAACGUGGAAGCUAGCUGGGAAGAGACUUGAAGGUAUUCCAGUCAGGAACACUUCAGGGUCCUCUCUCUCAAUUCCCUGUGCAAAAAGGCAUCAGGAACCUCCCUACCUGCUGAUAAGGUAAGAAUUCUGGAAUGCUUCUUUGAGUGAAAAAGCCUGGAGCACAAUACUAUAUAUAUGUGAUAUCAUGCUACCUUGUGCAAAAGAAGAAUUGAAAAGGCAAAUAUCUAUAAUUACAUUUGCUUAUGAUUACACAAAGAAAUUCUGGAAGGCUAUGCAAGAACUGAAUACAGAUGGGCAUAUGGACAUGAGAACUGCACAGAUCGAGGGGACAAGACAUGCACAGUGAUGGCAGCUGGUCCCCUUCCUCUCAUGGGACUUAGGCUCUGAAACCUGAUGGUCCAACUCUCCUGGGCAGGCCUCCCAUUCUGUGGUCACAGCUGUGGAGGCACACCUCAGCCAUCUCGUCCAUCAAGUAACCAACCCUCGCCAGCUUUCCGGUUCCUCAGCUUCCUGAAAAUGUAGUCUUGCCACACUGGAGGAAGGAUGGACCAAAAGCAACGUGGGACCCUGUGUCAGCAGGAUUUAAUAGACGGGGAGCCAGAGCCUCAGCUGAAUGCGUGAAAAGUUAACAGGGCUGAAGUUUUAAUAAAAUUUAUUUCU